UUCUUCCGCAAGCUACAUGAAUUAAUCAACACGUUUUUAAUAAGCUAGCUUGCCUUGCACGGAUCUAAGCUAUCUCCAUCUAUAAAAGAGAAGCUUAGAUCUCUUGUAAACCAACUUGAUUUGGAGUAAUGAAAUGCUGUUGAAUUAUCAACUAUCCUCUCAAGUUCAACCUUGUGCCUUGUUAUCUUGCACCUCCUAUAGCUCCUUUCCCCUUUGGAAGGUUGCCUGACCUAUAACUCUACCAAAAACAUUCAUCCAACAUCACCAGACAUUUUCACAAACACCUCCCGUGCAAUUCACACUUCAUCUUCUUCAUCAUUCCGCUGCCAAUUCUCUACGACUUGGAGCAUGCUUCUGCGUGUCAUGAAGAUGUUUCCAUCAUUUGGCAUCAAGAGCCAGCCGUUCCAGUCACACUUCAAGAGCUAAGUGCUCUUUCUUCCAAUUUUUCUUCAAUUGUCGUGUUGUUUUGUUCUUACAUGUACUGUCUGAUUCAUUUUUUUUUCUUUCUGAUACUGUGUUUGAGUGAAUUCUUUGUUCGUUCACUAUUCUAUAGUGUUCAAUUUUCAUUUUAAUCGGUGCAUAUCACUUGUUUGAGUCCAAUUCAUCAUCCAAUUUUACACUCCGUUUCUGUUACUGUCAUGUGCAGUUCAACUUUGUUGUUUAUCACUGUCAAUUAGUUUUGAACUGUUUCUGCCUUUUCUUCAGUUUGUUAAUGAGAACGAAUGCAAUGAUGACUCAUUUUGGAUCGAAUAAGCACUGAGAUUUUGUCUCGCUUAGAUCCGUAUAGCUUACGCAUUCUGCAAUUCAUCCUCUGGUUUUUUUUUCCAAACCUGUUUCAACCAGAUUUAUUGACUUUCAAGAUUGAAACAAUUUUGUUUGAUGUUUUUUACAUCAGUCUAAAGUGUUACGAUUCCAGAAUUCUCCAUUAUUCUCCAAAAGCUUAGUGCAGUUGCGUAAUUCUGGAUUCACUCAUUGAUUUCAACGUUAUUUCGGGAAUGAAAUUGUGAAUUCUGUUUUGUCCAGUUUUCUCUGCCUCCCAAGCUUUGAACACGUUUCACUGAUGAUUUUAAACCUGUUACAAGCUGUGCCAACCAGUUUAAGUCAUUCAAAUGCAAAAUGAGUGAUUGAGUUGUGUGAAAACUGAAUUUCCCUAGAGUCACUGUUCUGCAGUGUUAGCACCGUGCUGCUGUGUCACUUGCUUGUGUCUUAGGCCAUUUUGAUUCACUAGCUCAUACAUCUACAGCUCGAUCUAGUUCAUAGGACAUUCUUAUAUGUUGCUUGAACCAACCAGCCAUUGACUCUUUGCAUUUUCUCACAUCUGCUGCUGUCUACUCCAUUUUACAGCAUAUUUUUGCAACUCAAUAUGUGAUUUUGAGCUUGUGUCUGGUUUUGUGCAUUGUAUCUGUUUGAACAUGUUUAAUUGAACAUUUAAAACUUGUUUGCAUGGUCUAUUUGCUCUUUUCUCAGCCACAACAUCAUUUCACAUCUUGAACCAUCAUUUUUGCUUGAAAUAUGCAAGUGCACACCUCAUAUUGAGAUCCUUUAUGUUUUGGAUCAGUUUCAUUGGGUUUGAAGUCAUUUUUGGUGAAUUGAAAUUGGUUUGUUACUGUUCAUAUGGUAAAUUUUGAGCCAAAUUUGACUUGUUGCAUCACCAAAUUGUACUCAUUUUUAAGUAGUGCACUUGUCAUAUUCUGCUGCAGUACAUUUCUUUGCUGAUUAUGUGUUUGUACACAUCCAUUAUGAUGAUAUAAAGUUGCUUGAUGUGGCAUUUGAUCCUUUUAACCACUUCCACUGAAUUCACCCACUGUAGUUCCAAUUUUUCUGGCCAUUUUUUUAACUUUUUGGUGCAGUUUUAGUGCUUUAAUUCUGCAUAAUUCACAAUUGCCACUUUGAAUUUGAGUUGCUGAGUGUUUCAGUGUUGUUUCAGUGUUUGUACAAGUCUAUUUGCUUAUUUGAACACUAUUUUCACUGCUCAUAUGGUCCAGUAGUGCUUCUACCCGAGAAACAUAAGCCAAAACACCAAUUUUUAACCAAUUUUGGGUAGUGCACCAGUGAAAUAUUGAUCUGGACCAUGUCUUGCCUGUUUCAUUAAUUCCACACCUUGCAAAUGAUGAUAUAAACUUGGUGGAAGUAUCAUAGGACCAUUUGAAUCACUGCCAUUGAAAAUCACCAUUGUUGUUCCCAUUUUUCAGCUUAUUUUAACUACUGCAGUAGCGUCACUUUGCUGGUUUCACCAUUUCAGUUUCAAUCGUUAAUUGGAUUGCCAAAAGCUGGGGCAUCUUGUUCCAAACACAAUUAAAUCAAUAUCCAGGUGUAAACCAAUCAAAAAAAAAUGAUGAAUGAUGGAAACAUCUUCAUGACACGCAGAAGCAUGCUCCAAGUCGUAGAGAAUUGGCAGCGAAAUGAUGAAGAAGAUGAAGUGUGAAUUGCACGGGAGGUGUUUGUGAAAAUGUCUGGUGAUGUUGGAUGAAUGUUUUUGGUAGAGUUAUAGCUCAGGCAGCCUUCCAAAGGGAAAAGGAGCUAUAGGACUAACCCCACAGAAACCAAAGAGAUAGAGAAGCAAGUUAAUGAUUUAUUGGGAAAGUGGAUACAAAAGAGCCUUAGCCCUUGUGGGGUGCCAAUGUUGUUAGUCCCUAAGAAAGAUGGUUCUUGGCGAAUGUGUACAGAUUGUAGGGCUAUUAACAAUAUCACAGUUAAGUAUAGGCACCCUAUUCCUAGACUGGACGAUAUGUUAGAUGAAUUACAUGGAGCAAAUAUGUUCACCAAGAUUGAUCUUAAAAGUGGAUAUCAUCAAAUCAGAAUUAAAGAAGGAGAUGAAUGGAAAACCGCUUUUAAGACCAAAUUUGGCCUCUAUGAAUGGUUAGUCAUGCCUUUUGGCUUAACCAAUGCUCCUAGUACCUUCAUGCGUUUAAUGAAUCAUGUCCUUCAGGAAUACAUAGGCAGCUUUGUUGUAGUCUACUUUGAUGAUAUUCUAAUCUAUAGCAAAGGUCUUAAAAAGCAUCUUCAUCAUGUGAGAAAAGUUUUGAUUUUGCUUCGUCAACACCAUUUAUUUGCCAACUUUGACAAAUGUACCUUUUGUCAAGAAAGUGUUAUUUUUCUGGGCUUCAAAGUUGGGAAAGAAGGUGUACAUGUUGAUCCUAGCAAAAUCAAAGCUAUCCAAGAGUGGCCUAUCCUGAAAACAGUGGGAGAAAUAAGAAGUUUUCUAGGUCUAGCAGGUUUCUAUAGACGCUUUGUAGAAAAUUUCUUUACUAUUGCUGCUCCCCUCAAUGAACUUUUAAAGAAGGAUGUGGCAUUCAAAUGGGAUAAAAAACAAAGUCUAUCCUUUGAGACCUUAAAACAUAAGAUAACACAUGCACCCAUUCUACAUUUACCUGAUUUUUCCAAAGCUUUUCAAGUAGAAUGUGAUGCUUCUGGGGUAGGAAUAGGAGCUGUGCUUAUACAAGAAGGUCACCCUAUAGCUUAUUUCAGUGAAAAACUUAAGGGACCUACUUUGAACUAUCCUACCUAUGACAAAGAACUUUAUGCCCUUAUUCGAGCAUUGAAAACUUGGGAACAUUAUUUGGUGUCUAGAGAGUUUAUUAUCAGCACUGACCAUGAAUCUCUCAAGUAUAUUAAAGGGCAAGGAAAGCUNAACAAGCGACAUGCAAAGUGGAUUGAGUACCUUGAGCAGUUUCAAUAUGUCAUCAAACAUAAAAAGGGGAGUACUAAUAUUGUUGCAUAUGCUUUAUCUAGACGACAUGCAUUACUAGUUACUCUAGGUUCACAAAUACUAGGUUUUGAUGACAUCAAAAAACUUUAUGACACUGACCCUACCUUUGCAUCCACUUAUGCAUCUUGUCUUAAAAAGCCAUUCGACGGAUUCUAUAUUUCUGAGGGGUAUCUUUUUAAUAAAGGAAAACUAUGUAUACCCCAAGGAUCCAUUCGAAAGCUUUUUGUCAAGGAAAGUCAUGGAGGAGGACUCAUGGGCCAUCAUGGAGUUGAUAAAACUCUUCAUACUUUAAAAAGCAAAUUUUAUUGGCCACACAUGAGGAUAGAUGUCCAAAAGCAUUGUUCUAGUUGCAUAACUUGUUUACAAGCUAAGUCUAAAGUAAUGCCUCAUGGACUCUACCUUCCCCUUCCAAUAGCUAGUACCCCUUGGGAAGAUAUUAGUAUGGAUUUUGUCUUAGUUCUACCAAGAACUCAAAAGGGGUUUGAUUCUAUCUUUGUGGUGGUUGAUCGAUUUAGUAAAAUGGCUCAUUUCAUACCUUGCCACAAANGAUAAAACUCUUCAUACUUUAAAAAGCAAAUUUUAUUGGCCACACAUGAGGAUAGAUGUCCAAAAGCAUUGUUCUAGUUGCAUAACUUGUUUACAAGCUAAGUCUAAAGUAAUGCCUCAUGGACUCUACCUUCCCCUUCCAAUAGCUAGUACCCCUUGGGAAGAUAUUAGUAUGGAUUUUGUCUUAGUUCUACCAAGAACUCAAAAGGGGUUUGAUUCUAUCUUUGUGGUGGUUGAUCGAUUUAGUAAAAUGGCUCAUUUCAUACCUUGCCACAAAAUAGAUGAUGCUAGCUAUAUAGCAAAACUCUUCUUCAAAGAAGUUGUUAAAUUGCAUGGUUUACCCAAAACUAUAGUUUCUGAUAGAGAUGUUAAGUUCCUUAGCUACUUUUGGAAAACACUUUGGGCCCAACUAGGUACUAAACUCCUAUUUUCUACAACAUGUCACCCACAAACUGAUGGGCAAACAGAAGUAGUAAAUAGAUCUCUAUCCACUCUAUUAAGGGUAAUGUUGAAGGGCAAUAUUAAAAAUUGGGAUGAUCAUCUACCUCAUAUAGAGUUUGCUUAUAAUAGAGUAGUUCACAAGACUACUAAUCUUUCUCCUUUUGAGGUUGUUUAUGGUUUUAACCCUUUCACACCUCUUGAUUUACUUCCUCUUUCAGAAUCAUCUUCUUUUCUUCAUAAAGAAGGUCUUUCUAAAGCGGAAUUUGUCAAAAAGUUGCAUGAAAAGGUUAAAAGUCAUAUUGAAAAACAAACUCAAAAAUAUUCUGAAUACAACAACAAAGGGAGAAAACAAGUAAUCCUUAAUGAGAGAGAUUUAGUUUGGCUUCACUUGAGAAAAGAUAGAUUUCCUUCUCAACGUAAAUCCAAAUUAAGCCCAAGAGGUGAUGGACCUUUCAGAGUGGUCAAGAAGAUAAAUGAUAAUGCAUAUCAAUUAGACCUUCCUGAAAGUUAUGGUGUCAGUCCUACUUUUAACAUCUGUGACUUAAUUCCUUUCACAGGAGAUGCCCAACAGGAUUACCAAGAUCUGAGGACAGAUCUUUUUCAAGAGGGAGGGACUGAUGGAGGACCAUCCAAGNUCAACAUAGGACCUUUAACAAGAGCCAUGUCCAAGAGAAUCCAAGAGGAAGAGGGAGCACUCACUACUUUACUCUUAUGGAGUAUUAAUUACUAAACACCUCUUUCUCUUUGCUAAAUAAACUUUACAUUGUUUUGUAGGGUAUCAAAGCACCUAAGCAAGCUUGGUUAGACAUUGGAAGGCAAGAAAGGUGCAUACGGAUUGGCCAAGUAACUUCUGGAUUGGAAAAUACAAACCAGCGCCCAGCCACACGUUCCCAACGCUCAGCAUUUUCAGCAGCAUUCAAAUGUAUUGCAGCACGUGUUUGGCAUUGCACCUAUGAAGCACAUGGCCAGCUGGAUAAACUUCUGCUGCAAGCUACAUGAAUUAAUCAACACGUUUUUAAUAAGCUAGCUUGCCUUGCACGGAUCUAAGCUAUCUCCAUCUAUAAAAGAGAAACUUAGAUCUCUUGUAAACCAACUUGAUUUGGAGUAAUGAAAUGCUGUUGAAUUCUUAGCUAUCCUCUCAAGUUCAACCUUGUGCCUUGUUAUCUUGCACCUCCUAUAGCUCCUUUCCCCUUUGGAAGGCUGCCUGAGCUAUAACUCUACCAAAAACAUUCAUCNAACAUCACCAGACAUUUUCACAAACACCUCCCGUGCAAUUCACACUUCAUCUUCUUCAUCAUUCCGCUG
rnacentral:lncRNA from 1 species